UCUCUCUCUUCAAAACACCUGCUAUUCACUCUCUCUCUUCAAAACACCUGCUAUUCACUCUCUCUCUCUGUUCUACUUCUUAUUGUUGGCAUGUUGCUUCUCUCAUAUCUCGUGCUCUAAACAGUAAAAACCCCGACUGAGAAUCACAUUUCGUCAUUAUGAGUGGGAGAGAGAGAAGGGAACAGAAAAACGAGCAGAUAGCUCAAGCUCUCUCUAAGCUCCCCCAUAACAAGAAAUGCAUCAACUGCAGCUCCCCUGUCCCCCAAUAUGUAUGUUGCGAUUUCAGUACAUUUGUGUGCAUGACUUGCAGUGGAAUUCAGCAAGUGUGAUCCAAACAAUCCCCCCCUUUUUUUUUCUCUCUCAUCGUCUCCUUUCCUUUUCUUUUUUCUUUAUAAAAUUCAUAUCAAUGCUAUAGUUUUUGGUUCUUUUUUCCUGAGCCAGAUUUUUAUUCGAAUUAAUGUAGUUUUCCUCCAUUUUUGCUGCAUCGAAAAGCCGAGAGUUUACACACAGGGUGAAGUCCAUCUCUAUGUCCAAGUUUAGGCCUGCUAAGGUAGCUGCUCUUCCUUCAGGUGGAAACCAGGUUGCGCUCAAAAUUUACAUGAAAAAAUGGGAUUUCCAGGAAAAAUAAACUCCCCGAAAACAGUGAUUUGGAGAAUUUGCGUAAGUUCAUCAAACAAGUUUAUGUAGAGAAGGCUUAUGCAGCAGUGGAUGCUUUUGCGAGGGGAAGGACAGAUGAAUGUGGGUGUUUUUCAGUUGAUCGAAUAUAUCUGGAUGAUAAUUUUGAUGCAAGCCGUGGAUCCUUCUCAUCCUACAAAGACAGUUCUUCGAAUCUCAACAAAUUCAAGAGAUUUCCAAGCUAUGUUAGCAAUAAAAUUGAUGGAACAAAUAGCCAUGGCUGGUAUGAUAUGGUUAGAGAUGGGCCAAGGCCGUUCUCUAAUUAUUCAGAAGAUGACAGCUUUGAAAGGAUUAAGAGUUUCUCUUCCUAUGCCGAGAAAACAGGCUUGGAUCAAGCAGGUGAAAAUCCUACUGGCUUUCUAAAUUGGGAUGGUAGGGAUGAUAUGGCGCAGCCAUCCAAUAAUUCUUGUGGCUUUAUAGAAGAAAUUCCCCAGAUCCAAAGUUUUCAGGGGAAUGGAUAUGGUAGUGGAUUAAGUCAAGGCAUAAAUUAUAUUGGGUUUGGAGAUGCUGGCCUGUUUAAUGGCUAUUGUAAUUUGAACAGCCAAAGUGGAGUUUCGGUUGGUGGUUUUGCUUUGCAUGGACAUCAUAAACAAUGCCUUUUGUCAGCGCAACAAGACACUAUGUGCAAGGAAUUGGUGCUGAAAGCGCUCUUAAUAAUGGAUGGGCAACAUUUGAUCUUCCUCCUCCUUUUAGCAACAACAGCUCUCUUAACAAUGGUCCUGCCCAUAUAUAUGGAUCUAAGGAGCCCAUCAAUGGAAAAACUGAAAGUAUCUCAAACCCCACAUUUUGUGCAAGGGAAGGUUCUGUGAACCUUGAAAGUGAUAAUCAGGGUUCAAAUUCAUCUCUCUCAGGCCCCAGUGCAGUGUUGGAAUGCAUUUGCUUCGUGCUCUUCUUAUGAAGGGCAAGAAAUUCAAUCAGAAACUUCAAAUACUAUUGUUUGUUCUGAUAAUAGUCCUUGUAUCGUCAGCACACCAGUCGCUCAGCCCUUUGAACAGAACUCUUGGGGCUGCUUCAUUCUCUCUGUAUAGCAUCUAUUGAACCCAUUUCCUGCUACUGCUUUUUGGAGAACCAGAAUCUCAAUUGUAUACUUCUGAGUGGGAAGCUGAUUUUGCAUCUAUGCCAGAAUACAGGAACCAAGAUGAGGUGUCAGUUUCCUCUAUUGAUCCACCACAAAAGUCAAGGAAUCAAUUUGAUUCUCCUGAAGACUACGUUCCAGUGCCCAUCGAUUUCCCUAGUGCCAGCCAAGGAAACCAGGACAAUGCUGUAGAAACUAUGGACCCUUCGCCCUGCCUCUUGAUGGCCUAGCUAGUCUAUCACUGAGUUCAAGCUCACAAACUAAAGUUCCAAUUGGCGAAGAGUUGACAAGUCGCAACCCUUUGACUGAUCUGCAUGCUAAGGAGUUCUGGUACCAGUUCUAAUGCUCCAACUCAGUUGGUGAAAGUAAGUAUUAUCUUGCCUACAUAUUAUGGAACCAAGAGCAGUUUGUCAGUAAUGUGUAAAAUGGCAGGUAAGGCUUUGACUGUUAUGUUUAAAGGGAAAUUGUUUCAUAAUCUGGAUGUUGGACACCUGGGGUGGACAUAUAUCUUGAAAGAGUACUUUGUUUACCCUAUUUUAUUUUUUUUCCUCUUUGAAUGCAGAAGGCUUUGUAAGAUACUUGAAAGGACAAUGAGGGGCACGCCCAACAUGAAUAACAGAAAAUAAGUCCACUUGGUUUCAGACUUAGCGCAACCCAAAGUCAUCAGUCCCUUUCGUUCGCACAACAUUGAAUCCUCAAUGGUGAUUGCUAAAUCCUCUUUGAAUCCCAUUCAACUUGUUUCACUCAAACCUUGAAAUUUAGACUUUGGAAAUAACUUUUAGUUUCCUAGUCCUUCAAUCUCAUGCUUGAAUGGUAAGUUCACUGGGAUUUUCCUUGAAAAAAUGAUAAUUCUUAAUUUAUGAUUCGACAGGGGUUACUGCCUUAGAGUAUUGUGCCUAAGUGAGGUGUGAGUGCCUCACUUGGCUAUUAAAAGAGAUGAGUAAUCAUUCUAUUUUUCGAUAGUCCUUUUUAGUUGAAAUCUGGAGUUAUUCUUGAGGGAUUAAAUAUGUCCUAAGCUUAGUUGUGGUGCUUGAGUUGGGUUAAACUCUGACCUGGGAAGAACUAUGGAGUUAAUACAAGAUGAUGAUGUGGCAUAUUGGGGUUCAUUAUAUAAUAUCAUGACCUCAUCUAGUGCCCCUAUUGUAUUUCCAUUAUCAAACGAGACAACCUUUAUCGAUUUGUUGGAUGAGUUUACAACAAUUGCGCCUUCAUGAAUGUAGAAUGAGUCUUCGCGGUGGACCUCUGUGGUGAAGAUGGGCUUUGUGCUGCUGCUACUUCUGCUUCACCAAUUGUUCUCUCUCUAAACUCAAUUCCCGCGAAGAAGGUCCCCCUCUUAUAGCUUGGAGUGCUUUUAUGGAUUGGUUGAAUUAGAUAAGCUUCUUGAUCAUUUGUUGUUCUUGAGCGUUUCAUCCUUCAAAUCAAUGUUUGAUGAUGCCUUGAGAGAGAUUUGGCAGGUUACAAGAAAUCACAUUCCAAUUUGAACUAUUUAAAAUUGAAAUUCAAAUGUUAACAAGGCUUCUCAAUUUUGUGAUCCGAUGCUUCAUGCAUGGAUCGCUUUCAAAAGAUUGUGAUUUUGAUUUAAAACCUUGUAUAGGAUAAUAGAUCACAGUUUGCGGAUCAUUGUAAUCAAAUUUCAAACCACGUUGAAUUGAAUUGGAUUGAACUUUCAUGGUAUUGAAUUUAUGUUGGUCCUUAUUAGCUCAUAA